AAAGCAAUCUGCUUGUUUCCUUUACAUUUGUUAAGUUGGCACUGAAUAAUUAUAACUUUGUAUAAUAAAUAUCGCCACCUUUAUGUAGGUGUGUCUUACGUAACAGAUACUUAAGCAGCAGUUACAGCAGUGACGUGCUUUUACAUUUCCUAUAAAUAGUAUGGCUCAUUUGAUUUUUUUGUUCUGCCAUCAUCUGAGUGCACAAGUUGCCCAACCUGAACGAAGAUCAAGUGGUCAACCAGAUACAAAAGCAAACACUGGAGUUUCUGCAUUCUUUGGUCCAAAUUUGGCUCCCAAGUUGCCUGUCUAUUUUUUUAAGGUAAGGCUCAUAGUAAAGAGAGAUGUCAAUACCAUGAUUUUACACAUUCUACUGUACACUAAGGGCGUGUUCACACUUGGGCAGAAUACUUGAGUCUGCACCUAGGACCAGUUUUGGGUCGGUUCAGGGAAGGACUCAAAAUCCCAAAUUUGUUCCCAUUUUUAAGGAUUACUUCCAAACUAUGGCUCGAUUACACAAUUCCGCAUAACAUCUGAGGAAGCAAGUUUACAUAAUGAUAAGCAAUAAUGUCAGUUUCUUCUUCUUUAAAUUGUUCAUUCAUUUCUUGUUUUGAAGGUCACUUCAAAGUAAGAACGCUAUCUAAUUUGCCAUUCCAUUUUAAUAGUGUCUUCUGUUGAGCAUCACACGUUUCUCAGUGAAAUUCACACUUUACCCUGACACUUAAAAAUGAACAUUAAAAGAACUGAUUGGCCUUUUUGUGACUACUAUUGGAGCUACAGGGAUCCUGUGUUCUAAAACUGACGAUAGAUUUCUAUAAUCUCCUCAUCUUCUAUCAUUUCUUUAUCUCCUACGGAACUCCUAUGGAACCCAAUUAUCUCGGUUCCAUCAGUAGCUUUCUAGACAUAUUAACUCCCACACUGUCCACGCCUGAUCUGUUGCUCAGUCUGGCACUAACCUCUCAGUCAAUUGCCGAAUUUAUAAUGCCCCUAUAUUGGCAAAUACUGUGCUCUGUAGAUGGCUGAGUUUGCAAAAUUAGCUGAACUGAACAUUCAUACAGAGCUGGAGUUGGGUUUCAUUCAACGUCUGUGUAUCCGUGUUAUUGGGGCCUCCUCUGACACCACGGCUGUUAUUACAAAGCUUUGAGUAGACGCCCUGUGUCUAAGCGUGUUGCUGCUUGAAGAUUAAUUAUUAACAACAGUCUGGAGUUGAGCCAAGUUUUCUCAGCUACUCCCUCAUUCUUUUGGCUGAGCAAGAGACAGAUAAUUAAUUACAUAUUCACAUUCUAUUAAGCUAUCACUAAAACAGAAAGGGGUUAGCUUUCACAUCACCUGCCAUCUGACUACUAGGGUAGGCAAAAAUUAUUGUAAAACCAGGAACCAAAUGAACUGUUGUUAUCAGCCCUGGCCACAGGGAAUAACAGUGUGCCACAGUGUAAAUAUGAUAUUGAGAACAUUUAAGGAGGUUUGUAGAACCUCUACUGCAAAAUACUUGAACUCUGUGGUAUGCACCUUAGCUAACCUAAUGGAUUGUGAACAGGUCUGGCUGAGUACUUGCCUACUGUUGACACUUGGAUCACAUCACUCUUGGUUUCACUGUAUAAAGCACUAAUUCCUAUUUCCUAGGUCAGCCCACUACUUUGUGGGAUGACCUCCAAAAGAUGCUCCCACAUCAUGAAAGAGCACGGUGGAGCCCAUCUAAGAAAGACAGGGGCUGCUGGCAGGACACUUUACUCAUUGGAUCAUUGGGCAAUUACUACUUCAGACCAGUGGGUCCUCUUGACAAGUUUGUGGGAGUGUAAACUGUUGGCUCCAGCCUUCAAGGCUGAGUGUUUGGCCAAUUUCCAGUCCAAUCAAUUUGCCACUCUGCUCCAAUAAGUUACUUUUCUCUUGGGGAGAGUCACAAUCAAAAAAGUAGACCCUACUCUCAGAACAAAGGGUAUGUUCUAUAGCUCCACAUACUUUCAAGUUUAGAAGAGAGGCUUUAUGUAUGGUAAUUGUAUCAGAUAUUAUUUGUGUUGUGUAGCCACAAGACUAGGUCACAUCUGUACGAUACAUAUUUUCAUGUCCCUGUUCCUCUGCAUAUGCGUUUGGAGGUAUGCAUUUCAGAGACAGGUAUUCCAUAUCCUACCCUUUGUCCUCACUCUAGCAUCACACGUCUUCUGGAGAUUGUAGGUCACACACAUGGUGCUCAGUCUCAUAGUGAACUGGAAAAGAUCCCUAGUACUCCACACAUAAUCUGAAGCACCCCGCACAUAAUCUUAACGUAAUCUACUAGAGACAAUAAUUUCAGAAUAAGUCAGAAUAUAAUCAAGUCUAAUAAUUUUUUUUUGUGAAGGUAGGAACAUAUCCAAAUCUAACAAUACUAACAAUAAUAAGAAGAAAGAAUGACAGUCAUCAUUACUCAACAUUACCACUCAAAUUCAAACAUAAUAAUACAACAUAAGAAAAUCAAACUUGCAUACCUGAUAGAGAAAAACUACACACAGCAACUGUGUGGGAGAUCUGCCUACAGAUUCCCCAAAUCUUUGGCCAGCUCUCCCCUAAAUACCCAGAUACUCUGUAGGUCCACCAAAUGGUGUUGUUUGUGGUUAGAAUUGGAAUUUAGGCCAGUCUGUGGAAGGAUGUAUCUUAUUUACAUACAGGAGGUAAUUUAGGUGAAGGACCUGGGGAAGGUAUGCCUUUAACGUCAUGCAAUAUUUUUCUCUAGAUCUUAUGUAGUGAUUUAAACUGCUGAAUGAGACCAUAUUUUCCAGAUGCACUGAGACCUUUUGAAUGAUGCUAAACAUGUAUAGUUAAUUACAUGACAACAUUAAACAUAUUAUGUAAUGCAUACAGACCUUGUGUGAGUUUAAGGUGAUCUCAAUACAGAGAGAGAGAAGGGUGUGGAAAGAGAGGAAUAAGGAAACAAUGUAGUGAUGUGCGAUCUUCUCGUCUCCACUCAGUGUGAUGUGUUUUCUCAGGUGAAGCUGCUAAUUCUGAGGGCGAGAGUUCAAGUGUUAAUUCCUGUAAGAGUCCUUUUUCCUCAGAGAGCAGUUCUCUCCAGGUUCAGAUAUCUUGGCACCAGCCUUACACACAGCAGACCUGCACUAAUAGCAGAUGGAAAUGUCCAGGUGGCACCAGCAAGCAGCUUUUGAUUCUGUGCUGGUAAGGCAGUGGACAUUAAUUAGGCUAAAAUGCAGAAAUAUUCCUGGAGUAAAGGCCAGAGUACAUUUUGUACAUAUUGUACAAAUAUCUAAUUUUGGAUAUUUACUGGUGUCAUAAACUUGUGCUGCAUAAGCAUAUUUGUUAUUGUUCUAGCUCAUGUUGGUAAAAUUCUGUCAUUAGCCAAACAAAUUCUUCAAUUUCUUAAAUAAUUGUGAAGAUUUGGUGCAUGGGAAAAGAGUAAAAGAUUUGUGGAAUCACACUGUCUGUGAAGAGUGGUGCCAGCUGAAAAUGUCAGUGCAUGGUGAGCCUGUAAAUUCAUGCCUGAAUAAAGAUUUAUAAUUUAGGAUGAAUGAGGAGGCUUUAAGAGUAAUCCUGAAAUUCAUACAGGCUGACAUUGUGUAACGCCCAUAUCGAUUCCAGUUUUAUGCUAUAAUUAUAAACUAUAAAAUAAAUAGAGAGAGAAAAGAAGAUGUACUCCAGCACAGAAUCAUCAUCAUCAUCAUAAUCAUAAGCACAACAUUUCUACAGUUUCCAUUAGUAUCUUUAUUAGUAUUAGUAGUAGAAUCAUUUUUUUUCAGUGUACACAUUAUGCUGUACAUUAAUACGAUAAAAUGUAUUAGGAAGUUCUUAUUUUUUCUUUUUUGAAUUGAAUGUCAAGAACACAUGCAUAUUGUGCACAAAUGUGUUUGUCUACUCUGUUUUCCUUUCCCCUUAAAACUGAUACUGUAUAUGAGGGAAAAAAAAAGAAAAAGAAAAGAAAAAAAAAGAGCAAAAGCAGUUGCAAGCUCUUUUUUCUUUGUAAAAUUGUAUGCCAUGAAAAUGGACAUAUACCUAGAAAAUAUUCUAUGGGAGAUAAUUUACCAAACUGUUACUAAACGUGAUGUGAUUAACUUACUAUGCACAAUAUUUCCACUAUGUACAAUAAUUCCUGUAGAAUUAACUGAAGCCUUAUUUCUUGAGUUCUUAAAUAUGUAUUUGGUCAUUUCUUUCAUUUGUCUACCAGCUGACCGCUGAACACAAGGUAUGUUUCCAACAAGGUUAAUCUGUAUUAAAUAGUACUUAUUAUGGGAUUGAUAUUUGAGAUUGAGGAUUCUUUUAAACGUACAACACAUAACACACAUUAGACAGAUAUCAUGUAAUAUAUUAUAUAAUCUAAUGUAAUUGUUUUAAAUUGUGUACUUUAUUUGCAGACGUUCAAUCAUUAAUAAUGACAAUGCAAGCAGAACAGAAAAGCCUCUUUUUUGUCACCUGGAACACAAAUGGUAUUAAAAAUACCAAGAAGGUGACUUAAUGAAAUGCUAGUCCACUGCAGGGCACCAUGCACACACACACAUGCACAUGCGCACACACACAUUCAAAAGCAAUUUAGUGCAGCCAGUUCAUCUACCUGAAUAUUUUGGACAGUGGAAGAAAACUGGAUAAUUAGAAGGAAACCCACACAAACACAGGGAUGUGAACACAUGAAACGUAACACAGACAGUAACCUGAGCUCAGGAUUGACACAGGGAUAGUUGGCAACACUAUCCAGUGAACCAGCAACAACAGCAUCAUAUUGCGCCCUUGGUGCUUUGGCCCUAAUGAUGCUAACCAUACAAAGUGCUUAAAAUGAUCAUGAGUUUCCUCAAGGCCUCCUGACAUGAAGGAGUAUCUAGCACACCCUUGCCUGUGACCUCACAUGACACUGCCUGAGUUCUGCACUAAAUUCUAUGUUUGUGUGUACAUUAGAAGUGAGAGCAGUUGAAUCAACUAUAUAGUAAGUAAUUAAAGUUGUGGCAAUAACUCUUCAUCAUCAUCAUCAUCUAUUGAGUUAAAUUUUCUGAAAAGCAGGAUGGAAAACUUGACUUGAGAAUUAGAAUCAAAUAGAUGAAAAAGUACAAUUUUGUGUUAGAAUGAAGCCCUGAAUGGACAUCUGGUAUUUUCCUUCAAAUAUGUUUUAUAAAUUAAUUUAUAGGUAAAGAAGCACAUUUAAAAGUGAUUUGAAUGUAGAGUGUUGUAUGUAUUAUGUAAUGAAAUCAAAGUUCUUCUGUGGAACUCAAUUUGUCCAUUUAUUAACCCCAUCCUCAAUCUGGCUCUCAGGAAGCUACAAGAUCUGAUUCUCAAAACUGACACAGUUCUCGACUAGUGUUUUCUUUAACAGAUAUGUACUUUAAUUUUGUGCCUUAUUUUCACAGGGAAUCCAGAAUUUGUCUUUCACAUAGGUUAGAUCUGACAAUGCAAAAGAAAAAGAUUUCUCAUGUUUCCAUAUGUAUGAAGGCAGUUUGACUGUAUUGAUUGUCUGCAUGGGAGUUGGAAGCAGGGACUAAACAUGAGAAGAAAACUGGAUGUGGACAUUUAGAUCAGUCUGUGUCUAAGGAUUACCGUCAUAACAUGCUGUGAGCAGUAGCUGUUCUGAGGUCAACAGUGAGGACUUAAAUGUGAUCAAACAAACCUACAUGUAAUUUGUUGUUCCAAACUUGACUUUACAUGACUUUACUUUUUACAAAUUGUAAAAACGUGCACAGAUUUGUACAGAGACAUGAGAUUUGUAGUAGCAUUUAUUAGUUAACAAAGUGUUUAAUUGUUUAUUAUUAUUAUUGUUUAUUGUUUUAUUGAACACAUCAUUUCCAUAGUGUUUAGUGUUCAAAAACACACAUGUUCCCAAGCUAGCUUAGUUUUAGGUCUUUAGAGGGUUUUUAACACUACAGACAUCAUUUAAAAUAGAGCUGAGCUCAUGCAAAUGGUGCACAAAUAAGUGUACAUGUGCACCAAGCUGCUUUCUGUUUUUCACUUUCAUUUCUCUUGCUUUGUAAGUAGGAGCAAAAAGAAAACAAAAUCUUUCCAUAAUCGCCAACUUUUGCUGUAAAUCCUAGGGAACAGAUAUUUACAACAUCCGUGACAUGUUUUCCUGUUUAAAAUGCUUCCACUUUUUUUUUCAUGUUCCUGUAAAUCAUGUGACUAAUUGGAUUCUUCAUCUGGCACACUUCAUUUCUGCAACCAGCUGAGUGCACAAGUUGCCCAACCUGACCUAAGAUCAAGUGAUCAAGUGAUCAACCAGCAACAACAACAACAACAACAACAACAACAACAACAACAACAACAACAACAAACACAGGUGACUGCUGACACAAGGCUUCCAGCCAGAGGUUUAAUCAAAAAUGACAUCAAACGCUGAAACAAACCUCUGUUUUGUCUCCUGGAACACAAAUGGUAUUAAAAAAAGAUUGUAAAAAUAUUGGACGUUCUCUGUAACCUUCAAGCUGAUAUUGUUUUUCUACAAGAAACACAUGUUGGGCCAACAACAAAAUGUCUCCAAGCCAUUAAUAUUGUUAAAAACUGGGACGUCUACAAUACUGAAUACAGUUCUCAAAGCAAAGGAGUUGCAAUACUGAUAAAAAAAACAUACCAUUUGAGUACAUAUGCCAUGAUGAGGAUUGUAGUGGAGGUUACAUUGUGCUCUUCUGUCAUCUGUAUGGUGAACUGUACACUCUUGUUAACGUGUACAAGCAUAAGAAAGACAAAGUUGUCUUGAAUAGGCUGAAGGACUAUUUGAUGGCGAGAGCUGAGGGUGUGCUAGUGGUUGGAGGUGAUUUCAAUUCACUUUUAGAUCCCAGAGUAGAUCGCAAUCCUCCAAGGUCAAGAGAAUCACCAUCAAAAGUUUUAGAAGACUUUAUUGCAUCACUGAACCUCAGAGACACCUGGUCAAACAUACAUACUGAUAAUGAUACAGAGAGAUUUACAUUCAAAUAUCCUCGUGGUUUUUCCAGAAUAGACAUGUUUUUCCUGCAAAAUGCCACAAUAAAUCAAGUACUUAGCAUUACAGUUGAAAAAGGUUUUGAGGGACAAAAAAUGGAUCAUUUCCCUCUCGUCUUAAAACUCCCCACAAGGUUAAGGACAUAUGAAUACAAUCCUGACAGGUGCCAAGGAAAGAUUAGUCUUAAAGAAAUACUGAGUGCUAUAAAGUAUUUAACUGACAAAGAAGAACCCAGACCAAAUAUGAAUGAUGAGAAGGUCUACAAAAAAAAAUGCUGUACAAUGAAGAUUGACUACAAUAAAAUAUUAAAUACACUGAAGGUACCUAAAAAUUAUAAACCUUCAGGAGACAACAACAUGGAAUAUUUGAUAUUUUCAGAAAUUUUGGCCAAGCGCCUCUUGCCAUUCAGUUCAUGUGAAACUGAUAACUGUGCCACUGUGAACAUUGAGAGCCCACAGGAAAUCAAGUGGUCUUACCUGAAGACAAUAUUUGAUAAGAUAGAUUAUUGUUAUUAUAAAGAGAAAGACCCAAAACAGGCCCCGUUUGCCCCCCCACCAGACCUCCGCAUUCUGGAUCGUCUUCUUCCUAAAGUCCAAAACUCUACUGAGGAUCUCAGAGUUUUACAGCCUAACUGUCCACUAGCCAAUGCUAUCCUCAAUCUGGCAAAUAAACAGCUGGUUGAUAUGCUUCAGUUGUUCCAGAAUGAUUCAGGACUGAAGUUAAAUACUGUACUUCAUGUACUCAAACAAACACACACACACAAAUAAGUCACUUUGAGCCUAAAUAAUUGAAGAACUUUUAAAGGGCCUUUAACAGCAAUUAGAACAUUAAGCACAGGACAGGUUGAGAAGUUUUAUUCCCCCUCUACAGCAGCUACAUCACAAAUUGUGCUACAACCUCUCUAUAAACAUCAGAGGUACACAUCUAUUUUAUGUCCAGAUGAAAAAAAAACAAAAAACAAUACUUAUGCUGGCUUUUAUCUCUUAUGCAUUACUUUAUUAUAUUUAAUUAUGAUUGCUAUUAUGAUUUUGUUGAUAGUAGCACAGUGGGUAAUCACUGUCCAUCACUAGUCCGAAUUAAAAUAGAUUCAGAAAAUAUCAGGGAUUUCAGGCACUAUCUACAGUUACUUUGAUUUGCUUAGAUUGGUUUAGCUUUGCUUCACGAGCUGGGAAUAUUGUAUUAAUUUCUAAGUUGUUAGGGUGUAUUUGUACACGUAAAAUGAAACUUUUAUUUAAAAUGUUUAAAAUUUGUAUAGGAUAUAAGAUUUGUAAUUAAUUUUGUUGUUGAGUUUUGUAAAUUAUUACAGCAAUGGUGCAGUGCUUUGUGCAAUCACAUUAUAUAUACAUUAACAGUGUCUUUCUUUUUUUUGCCUUCUUUUUUUUUUGCCUUUGUCAAGAAUAAUGCUACAUUCAUGUUUACUGUGUUUAUGAGAUACUUAUAUUUGAAAAAAAAGGCAUCCUUAAUAUGUAAUAUUUCUUUCUUGGAGAUGUUUGGCUAUCCUAAUAGACAUUAUGGAAGUUUGUACAGAUGUGCAUCAUGUUUGCUUGGUUGUGUAUUAAUCUGUUACUUCCAUCCCAGCUUUAAUUGAAGACUUUCUGCUGCAAGGCAUUCACCACUAAGUAUUAUUUUAGAAGCUUUUACGGCAUCUCUGAAUCUUAGAGACACCAUGCCUUCACUUUACUGAUGAGGGCUUUACACAGUUUCACAACAAGUCAUUCCUGGAUAAACUUUAGACACAAUGGGAAAAUACAAACUACAGAGCUAUAGAGUUAAACUACAGAAAGUUUUGAUAAAUGUCCUCUUGUACUAAAAGAGCAAAUACAUUUAAAACAGAACAAAACAAAAAACUCUGGAGAGAGAUACAGACACAGAGUGAAAUAAAAAUGCCCACUGAUGAUAUCAUUAAAUCUACUGAAGUAACAGUUUCGAAGUAGGAAGUGAAACGUGUAUGUGGUGAACACAGACGAGAGGAGUGAUACACACAGUGAAACAUUCCAGUGCGGUUAUAGGAAAUAUAUUCGCUCUUGGAAUGCCGCACGACCAAUCAGAUUAGUGGAACUAACUGUUGUAUAAAGGUUCAUAAUCUAUCAGCAUACAUGCUUCUCUACUUCCUGUGUCUGUUAGCACAACAUUAUGGAAUAAAAACAAUUUCUGUAUAAUCAUCUUUGGCUACAUCUUUGCAUGAUUUAGGCAUGUCCAUACAUUCUCCAA
ensembl:lncRNA